rnacentral:rRNA from 1 species
ACAUGUAAAUCGAGCGGAAACGAUGAUAGCUUGCUAUCAGGCGUCGAGCGGCGGACGGGUGAGUAAUACUUAGGAAUCUACCUAGUAGUGGGGGAUAGCUCGGGGAAACUCGAAUUAAUACCGCAUACGUCCUACGGGAGAAAGGGGGCAACUUGUUGAUCUCGCUAUUAGAUGAGCCUAAGUCGGAUUAGCUAGAUGGUGGGGUAAAGGCCUACCAUGGCGACGAUCUGUAGCUGGUCUGAGAGGAUGAUCAGCCACACCGGGACUGAGACACGGCCCGGACUCUUACGGGAGGCAGCAGUGGGGAAUAUUGGACAAUGGGGGGAACCCUGAUCCUAGCCAUGCCGCGUGUGUGAAGAAGGCCUUUUGGUUGUAAAGCACUUUAAGCAGUGAAGAAGACUCUUCGGUUAAUACCCGGGGACGAUGACAUUAGCUGCAGAAUAAGCACCGGCUAACUCUGUGCGAGCAGCCGCGGUAAUACAGAGGGUGCAAGCGUUAAUCGGAAUUACUGGGCGUAAAGCGAGCGUAGGUGGCUUGAUAAGUCAGAUGUGAAAUCCCCGGGCUUAACCUGGGAACUGCAUCUGAAACUGUUAGGCUAGAGUAGGUGAGAGGGAA